rnacentral:rRNA from 1 species
GAGUAAAGUUCUAGAAUNGAUAAAUUUGAUGAUGACAAAACAUCCUUUCUAUAUGUCUUGACCAAAUUACGUGCCAGCAGUCGCGGUAAUACGUAGAAGACUAGUGUUAUUCAUCUUUAGUAGGUUUAAAGGGUACCUAGACGGUAUAAUUAGUCUUAAAUAAGAAACGGUUAUGCUAGAGUUAUAUCUGAGAAGGGGAGUAUUUAUGGAGUAGAGUUGAAAUUCUUUGAUCCCAUAACGACUGGUAACGGCGAAAGCAACCUUUUAUCUAAUAACUGACGUUGAGGGACGAAGGCUCGGGUCACGAACAGGAUUAGAUACCCUAGUAGUCCAAGCAGAGAAUGAUGAAUGCCAUAGAUUAGAUGUUUAUUUAGUCUAUAAAUGAAAGUGUAAGCAUUUCACCUCAAGAGUAAUGUGGCAACGCAGGAACUGAAAUCAUUAGACCGUUUCUGAAACCAGUAGUGAAGUAUGUUAUUUAAUUCGUAAGUACGCGAAAAACCUUACCACAACUUGAAUAUUAUCUUUAUGAUAUUACAAGCGUUGCACGGCUGUCUUCAGUUAAUGUCGUGAGAUAUUGGUUAAUUCCAUUAAAUUAACGGAAACCCUUGCUUUAUUUGGUUAUAAAGCAG